rnacentral:rRNA from 1 species
AUUGGAGGGCAAGUCUGGUGCCAGCAGCCGCGGUAAUUCCAGCUCCAAUAGCGUAUAUUAAAAUUGUUGCAGUUAAAAAGCUCGUAGUUGAAUUUCUGCUGCAUUUCAUUUCUCUUUCUGAGUUUGUUUUUGCGGCUUAUUUCGGUUUGAUUUUUUCUUUCCGGAUGAUUACUUUGAGAAAAUUAGAGUGCUCAAAGCAGGCUUUUGCCUUGAAUAGUUUAGCAUGGAAUAAUAGAGUAGGACUUUGGUUCUAUUUUGUUGGUUUUAGGUACCAAAGUAAUGGUUAAUAGGAACAGUUGGGGGCAUUCGUAUUUAACUGUCAGAGGUGAAAUUCUUAGAUUUGUUAAAGACGAACUACUGCGAAAGCAUUUGCCAAGGAUGUUUUCAUUAAUCAAGAACGAAAGUUAGGGGAUCGAAGACGAUCAGAUACCGUCGUAGUCCUAACCAUAAACUAUGCCGACUAGAGAUUGGAGGUCGUCAGUUUUUGCGACUCCUUCAGCACCUU